rnacentral:rRNA from 1 species
GAUGAACGCUGGCGGCGUGCCUAAUACAUGCAAGUCGAGCGAACUGAUUAGAAGCUUGCUUCUAUGACGUUAGCGGCGGACGGGUGAGUAACACGUGGGUAACCUGCCUGUCAGACUGGGAUAACUUCGGGAAACCGAAGCUAAUACCGGAUAGGAUCUUCUCCUUCAUGGGAGAUGAUUGAAAGAUGGUUUCGGCUAUCACUUACAGAUGGGCCCGCGGUGCAUUAGCUAGUUGGUGAGGUAACGGCUCACCAAGGCAACGAUGCAUAGCCGAACUGAGAGGGUGAUCGGCCACACUGGGCCUGAGACACGGCCCAGACUCCUACGGGAGGCAGCAGUAGGGAAUCUUCCGCAAUGGACGAAAGUCUGACGGGGCAACGCGGCGUGAGUGGUGAAGGCUUUCGGGUCGUAAAACUCUGUUGUUAGGGAAGAACAAGUACAAGAGUAACUGCUUGUGCCUUGACGGUACCUAACCAGAAAGCCACGGCUAACUACGUGCCAGCAGCCGCGGUAACAC